CCCUUAGAUGUUCGGAGCCGCACGCGUGCUACACUGAACGGUUCAAUGGGUGAGGUAGUGCGAAAGCAUGACCCAAUCUCAAAAUCCGUUCGUGCUGGGGAUAGAAGCUUGCAAUUCUCCUUCUUGAACGAGGAAUACCUUGUAAGCGCGAGUCAUCAUCUCGCGCUGAAUACGUCCCUGCCCUUUGUACACACCGCCCGUCGCUCCUACCGAUUGAGUGGUCCGGUGAGGCUUCGGGAGAGCUAAAUGGAUUGUGUUUCACAAACUAUUUGGCUUGAACUUAGUCAAACCUUACUACUUAGAGGAAGGAGAAGUCGUAACA
rnacentral:rRNA from 1 species